rnacentral:lncRNA from 1 species
UUUUUGGGACGAUCCAGUUUUGCUGAUUAAUCACUGGGGCAAAUAUUUAUAUACAAAUCCCUGAGAACAGCAAGCACCUGGCAAAUCUCAAGCGCUACAAAGCUCCCAUCCUACAGAUCUGAUUGGCUGAGCUCCGGGCAGAAGGCUCCGCGUUACAGACUUUAAACCUGCUUACACCUUUGGCUCAUCCCCUGAAGGACAAUUAACUCCCUCCUACCUGGUCCUCUGGGCCACCGAGCCCAAACACGACCUGAGGCAGGCACACUCGCACUGCGUCCCAACCAACCUACAACCAAAACAAAAAGUACUACCAGAGUUUCCAAGACACUGAUUCAACUUGCUGUUAAAAGAAAAAAUUUAUAUCUAGGCCUAAAUGGUGUAAGGCAGACCUGACUGCCCAUAAACAUCACAGCAAAAUAUUUGCCAUCCUGCGACAGUUUAGG